GGCACUCUAUUGACUUUUCUUUUCUUUUUUGUUGUCUCAUGAAACUGUAAGGAGCAUAAUGUCAUGGUUAUUUGCUUUUUUGAUGACUUGAUUCAUUAGUUCUUUAAAGAAUAGUCAGAAGUGUUGUAUUUGCAAUACCUUCAGCCAACUUCUUAUGAAAGGAUAAUUUUUGUUCUGGUUUGUCAUAUUUCUAAAUUUCUCUGAUCACCAUUGUUGAUAAACACUACUAACAUCACCACUUAGGAGUUUUGAAUAUCCAAAGUCACCGAGGUAAUUUCACAAAUCUGUGCAUCAUUAAUUAUCUCAUGUCUGACGUAUGAAUAUUGUGGGCUUGGCAAAGGUCAUAAACAGAAUCCUCAUAAUGCGGUUCCAGGUUUAUUUUCCCUUUUUCUUUAAUGAUGAAUACCACAAAAGUGGUGAUAUUUCCUAUUUUACAACUCGUUAUUUUUCCUCUCAGCAUCUACCAAUGUCACUGGCACGCACCAGCACUAAUGCAGUUCCAGGUUAUUUUUCCCUUUUUCUUUAAUGAUGAAUACCACGAAAGUGGUGAUAUUUCUUAUUUUACAACUUGUUUUCUUUACUCACAGCAUCUACCAAGGUCACUGGCAUGCACCAGAACUAAAUAUUGGGCUACUCAGAAUUCAAUCAAGGUUGCCCAGAUGCUUGACGGCCAUAAAAACCAUGCUGAAGUUGGAUAAACCACUGGUAGAACCAGGUGGUGGGUCUUGCCUCUAUGGCAAUGCAAUGGUGUAGGUGGUGUGGGUGUUGCAAUGUCAAUGUGGUGGAUGGG